CUAGGGUAUGGAGACAUGUACCCACAGACGUGGCUGGGUAUGAUGGUGGGGGCACUUUGUGCGCUGGCUGGGGUAUUGACCAUCGCCAUGCCGGUCCCCGUCAUCGUCAAUAAC